rnacentral:rRNA from 1 species
UACGUAGGGUGCAAGCGUUGUCCGGAAUUAUUGGGCGUAAAGAGCUCGUAGGCGGUUCGUCGCGUCGGCUGUGAAAUCCCCAGGCUUAACCUGGGAACUGCAUCCGAUACUGGAUGGCUUGAAUCCGGGAGAGGGAUGCAGAAUUCCAGGUGUAGCGGUGAAAUGCGUAGAUAUCGGGAGGAACACCAGUGGCGAAGGCGAGUCUCUGGGCUGAUACCGACGCUGAGGCGCGAAAGCCAGGGGAGCAAACGGG